rnacentral:rRNA from 1 species
GGAAUAUUGGACAAUGGGGGCAACCCUGAUCCAGCCAUGCCGCGUGUGUGAAGAAGGCCUUCGGGUUGUAAAGCACUUUCAGCGAGGAGGAAAGCCUGAUGGCUAAUACCCAUCGGGGGUGACGUUACUCGCAGCAGAAGCACCGGCUAACUCCGUGCCCGCAGCCGCGGUAAUACGGAGGGUGCAAGCGUUAAUCGGAAUUACUGGGCGUAAAGCGCAGGUAGGCGGCUGUUUAAGCUAGCUGUGAAAGCCCCGGGCUUAACCUGGGAACUGCAGUUAGAACUGGGCAGCUAGAGUACAGUAGAGGAGUGUGGAAUUUCCUGUGUAGCGGUGAAAUGCGUAGAUAUAGGAAGGAACAUCAGUGGCGAAGGCGACACUCUGGACUGAUACUGACGCUGAGGUGCGAAAGCGUGGGGAGCA